GGGGAAUAUUGCACAAUGGGGGAAACCCUGAUGCAGCGACGCCGCGUGAGUGAAGAAGUAUUUCGGUAUGUAAAGCUCUAUCAGUAGGGAAGAAAGAAAUGACGGUACCUAACUAAGAAGCCCCGGCUAACUACGUGCCAGCAGCCGCGGUAAUACGUAGGGGGCAAGCGUUAUCCGGAUUUACUGGGUGUAAAGGGAGCGUAGGUGGCAAGGUAAGUCAGAUGUGAAAACCCAGGGCUCAACCCUGGGACUGCAUUUGAAACUAUCUAGCUAGAGUGCAGGAGAGGUAAGUGGAAUUCCUAGUGUAGCGGUGAAAUGCGUAGAUAUUAGGAGGAACACCAGUGGCGAAGGCGGCUUACUGGACUGUAACUGACACUGAGGCUCGAAAGCGUGGGGAGCAAAC
rnacentral:rRNA from 1 species